GACGAACGCUGGCGGCGUGCUUAACACAUGCAAGUCGAACGGAAAGGCCCUGCUUUUGUGGGGUGCUCGAGUGGCGAACGGGGGAGUAACACGUGAGUAACCUGCCCUUGACUUUGGGAUAACUUCAGGAAACUGGGGCUAAUACCGGAUAGGAGCUCCUGCUGCAUGGUGGGGGUUGGAAAGUUUCGGCGGUUGGGGAUGGACUCGCGGCUUAUCGGCUUGUUGGUGGGGUAGUGGCUUACCAAGGCUUUGACGGGUAGCCGGCCUGGGAGGGUGACCGGCGACAUGAGGCCUGCGGGACGCCCCAGACUCCUACGGGAGGCAGCGGUGGGGAAUCUUGCACAGUGGGCGGACGCCUGAUGCGGCAGCGCUGCGUGCGUGAUGACGGCCUUCGGGUUGUAAACCGCUUUCGCCUGUGACGAAGCGUGAGUGACGGUAAUGGAUAAAGAAGCACCGGCUAACUACGUG
rnacentral:rRNA from 1 species